rnacentral:rRNA from 1 species
CCUACGGGUGACAGCAGUGGGGAAUAUUGGGCAAUGGGCGCAAGCCUGACCCAGCAACGCCGCGUGAAGGAAGAAGGCUUUCGGGUUGUAAACUUCUUUUCUCAGGGACGAAGAAAGUGACGGUACCUGACGAAUAAGCCACGGCUAACUACGUGCCAGCAGCCGCUGUAAUACGUAGGUGGCAAGCGUUAUCCGGAUUUAUUGGGUGUAAAGGGCGUGUAGGCGGGAGCGCAAGUCAGAUGUGAAAACUCAGGGCUCAACCCUGAGCCUGCAUUUGAAACUGUGUUUCUUGAGUGCUGGAGAGGCAAUCGGAAUGCCGUGUGUAGCGGUGAAAUGCGUAGAUAUACGGAGGAACACCAGUGGCGAAGGCGGAUUGCUGGACAGUAACUGACGCUGAGGCGCGAAAGCGUGGGGAGCAAACAGGAUUAGAUACCCGGGUAGUC